UAAUUUAUACUUCCCUUAUUUGUUUCUUCCUUUAUACACGGGUCAUGUACAUGUACCUAUAUAUUUCUUCUCCACCAGUAAUACAAUAUAGUCGUUCAUACAUUCUUCUCAAUACCUUAUAUGGUAUCAGAACGAUCUGUGUAAACACACUUGAUCCAACAUUCAUCACCAUGUUUGAUGCCGCCGUUGCAGCCAACACUGCCCUCAUCGCCGAGCCUGCGCCACAUUCAACACCCAAGACCCUCACAAGUCUCUCCUUUCUUGUAACAUGUCUAAUGUUACAAAACUAACGACGACAAAUUAUUUUACAUGGAGCGUUCAAGUUCGUUCGCUGCUUGAAGGUUACAACCUUGUCUGCUUCAUCACUGAUGCAUCUGUUCUUCCUCACUGUGACUGUCGACAGAGUCAUAUCCGCCAACCCUGUGUUUGGUCCAUGGAAGCAACAAGAUCGCCUCAUAUAUAGCUCCUUGCUCGAUGCCCUGUCUGUGAAUCUACAGCAUCUCAUAGCGUGAUCUGCAUCAACUCGAGUCUCGAGAUGUCUGGCGCACUCUGGCAAAUACUUAUGGUCGCGCCUCACAUGGACACAUUCUUCAACUUCGGGACCAAGUGAAGCGAAGUGUCAAGGGCAGCCAAACAAUUGACGAAUACCUAAGGUUCAUUACCUCCAAAUCUGAUGAGUUGCACAACUCUCCAAACCCAUGGAUCACGAAAACAUCCUCGAGGCAAUUCUAGAAGGUCUCCCUGACGAUUACAAACCUGUGAUCGAUGCAGUCAAUGCUCGAGACACAACAAUCACCAUCGAAGAACUGCACGAGAAGUUGCUCAAUCACGAAACCAAACUUGAUGUUGUAUCGCUAACAACACCCCCUGUGACAGCAAAUCCUCCCACACAUCACAACCAUCCUCGGCGCUACAACUCCAACCCUCGAAACAAUGCUCCCUCAUGGUGCCAAUCCGCACAUCACUCUAGCAACAACUCUAGCUACAAAGGGAAAUGCCAAGUUGCAACACAGUCGGUCAUAGUGCAAAAUAUUAUCCCCUGUUUCGGCUUAUAUCUUCUCGACAGCGUGAUCGAACCAAAGACUCAACCAAUUUCUCUGCUCAGCCCUCUCGCCAAUGGAAUUCAUCUGCUUACAAAGCCAUGACUUCACCCUAUGACGCGACAUCAUGGCUUCUUGACAGCGGCACAACACAUCAAAUUACCUCGGACUUGCAGAACCUCAGUAUUCACAGUCCAUACAAAGGCGCUAAUGAUGUCGUCAUCGGAGAUGGUGAAGGAUCUAAGGACGUGAAAGGGGACUUCUAACCGGAAGAACUAAUCAGUGAGUUUACGAGUGGCCGAAAUCAUCCUCUCCCCCUUCAUCGUCUGUUGCAUUUACGAGUCUUAAGUCCACUUUGUCCGAGUGGCACUCACGUCUUGGUCAUCCGUCUUUAGCAAUUCUUAAGCACAUUGUGUCGCAUCAUGAGUUACCAUUGUCUUGGUCUCCCUUUCCUCGCAGUGUGUUUCUUGUUCACGGAAUAAAAGCCACAAAUUACCA